rnacentral:misc_RNA from 1 species
AACACUGUUAACCUGCGGUACCUGCGGAGGGAUCAUUACCGAGUUUACAACUCCCAAACCCCUGUGAACAUACCAAUUGUUGCCUCGGCGGAUCAGCCCGCUCCCGGUAAAACGGGACGGCCCGCCAGAGGACCCCUAAACUCUGUUUCUAUAUGUAACUUCUGAGUAAAACCAUAAAUAAAUCAAAACUUUUAACAACGGAUCU